ACGUAAGAUAUCCAACUGAACAACAAGAUGAAAGUACAGAUCCCUCGUUAGCCUGGAAAAAAAAUCUACGCUCCAACAAAAUAAGGGAGUCUAAUGCACAAUGUAUGUAACACACAAAGGAACCCCAGAGGAGUGGGAACCAGACUUCUCCCACCCCAGGAAGACAGUGCUGGUUCAAAAUCCUUCAUUGGCCAAAAGGACAGUUUUACGCACAAGAAAAUGCAGGAGAACAGAAACAGGAAUCAUUGGCACGAACCCAAAUGAGAAAAGACUGGAAUAAAGGCAAACUCUUCAAGAUGCCUGAAACCAAGAUGCACCAAAGUCAGGAGCCAAGACUUCCCGGG
rnacentral:lncRNA from 1 species